AUUGAACGCUGGCGGCAUGCCUUACACAUGCAAGUCGAACGGCAGCACGGGAGCAAUCCUGGUGGCGAGUGGCGAACGGGUGAGUAAUAUAUCGGAACGUGCCCAGUCGUGGGGGAUAACGUAGCGAAAGCUAACGCUAAUACCGCAUACGAUCUAUGGAUGAAAGCGGGGAUCGCAAGACCUCGCGCGAUUGGAGCGGCCGAUAUCAGAUUAGGUAGUUGGUGGGGUAAAAAGCCUACCAAGCCUUCGAUCUGUAGCUGGUCUGAGAGGACGACCAGCCACACUGGAACUGAGACACGGUCCAGACU
rnacentral:rRNA from 1 species